GGCUGUUGCAGUUCAGUGGUUAAGGUCUUGUGCUUGUGACCACAAGGUUGUGAGUUCAAACCUCAAGAAGCCG